GACGAACGCUGGCGGCGUGCUUAACACAUGCAAGUCGAACGGAAAGGCCCUGCUUUUGUGGGGUGCUCGAGUGGCGAACGGGUGAGUAACACGUGAGUAACCUGCCCUUGACUUUGGGAUAACUUCAGGAAACUGGGGCUAAUACCGGAUAGGAGCACCUGCUGCAUGGUGGGGGUUGGAAAGUUUCGGCGGUUGGGGAUGGACUCGCGGCUUAUCAGCUUGUUGGUGGGGUAGUGGCUUACCAAGGCUUUGACGGGUAGCCGGCCUGAGAGGGUGACCGGCCACAUUGGGACUGAGAUACGGCCCAGACUCCUACGGGAGGCAGCAGUGGGGAAUAUUGCACAAUGGGCGGAAGCCUGAUGCAGCAACGCCGCGUGCGGGAUGACGGCCUUCGGGUUGUAAACCGCUUUCGCCUGUGACGAAGCGUGAGUGACGGUAAUGGGUAAAGAAGCACCGGCUAACUACGUGCCAGCAGCCGCGGUGAUACGGAGGGUGCGAGCGUUGUCCGGAUUUAUUGGGCGUAAAGGGCUCGUAGGUGGUUGAUCGCGUCGGAAGUGUAAUCUUGGGGCUUAACCCUGAGCGUGCUUUCGAUACGGGUUGACUUGAGGAAGGUAGGGGAGAAUGGAAUUCCUGGUGGAGCGGUGGAAUGCGCAGAUAUCAGGAGGAACACCAGUGGCGAAGGCGGUUCUCUGGGCCUUUCCUGACGCUGAGGAGCGAAAGCGUGGGGAGCGAACAGGCUUAGAUACCCUGGUAGUCCACGCUGUAAACGGUGGGUACUAGGUGUGGGGUCCAUUCCACGGGUUCCGUGCCGUAGCUAACGCUUUAAGUACCCCGCCUGGGGAGUACGGCCGCAAGGCUAAAACUCAAAGGAAUUGACGGGGCCCCGCACAAGCGGCGGAGCAUGCGGAUUAAUUCGAUGCAACGCGUAGAACCUUACCUGGGUUUGACAUGGAUCGGGAGUGCUCAGAGAUGGGUGUGCCUCUUUUGGGGUCGGUUCACAGGUGGUGCAUGGCUGUCGUCAGCUCGUGUCGUGAGAUGUUGGGUUAAGUCCCGCAACGAGCGCAACCCUUGUUCACUGUUGCCAGCACGUUAUGGUGGGGACUCAGUGGAGACCGCCGGGGUCAACUCGGAGGAAGGUGGGGAUGACGUCAAGUCAUCAUGCCCCUUAUGUCCAGGGCUUCACGCAUGCUACAAUGGCUGGUACAGAGAGUGGCGAGCCUGUGAGGGUGAGCGAAUCUCGGAAAGCCGGUCUCAGUUCGGAUUGGGGUCUGCAACUCGACCUCAUGAAGUCGGAGUCGCUAGUAAUCGCAGAUCAGCAACGCUGCGGUGAAUACGUUCCCGGGGCU
rnacentral:rRNA from 1 species